UGAAAAUUUGUAGCUCCCCCAAUGUUUACAUGGCCUAAUACCAAGUGAAAUUCUACAAUCCAGAAAUUUGCCCAGUUUUUAAGCUACAAUCUGGUUUCUGUUAAAGUUUUUACCUUCACUUUUUAAAGUCAUUUUUGAUCGACGUGUAUUCAGUUAUUAUGAAGGGGCGUUCACACACAGAAAAUUAUUCCUUAAGUGUUAAAAACUCGGUUAUUUUAAGCAUUUUUAAUUUAUUUUUUAAUUAAUUAAACCAAACUCUUUUCCAAAAUAAGAUUUAAAACAAAUAAAAACACUGGUAGGAAAUAGUUUUGCGUUUAAGUGUUUUUGUUAUUCUUUGUCACAAAAAAAUGGAUAGAUUCUUUAGAAAUUUGUCGGAUUAUUAUUUUUAGCUUUGUCAUUUCAACGGGCAUGUUUUCAAUAUAUAAAAAAAAGUGUUAAGCAAUUUUAUGAGCUCACUUAGAAAAAAAAUUUACUCAGCACAUCUGCUUAUUCUAUUCCUUUUCAUUAGUAAGGGGGUGUUUAUAUAUUUUUGAUAAGUUAAAUGUGCUUAACCCCUUUGUACUUCCUUUUAUUUAUCUUGAUGUUUCAGUAUUCGUGCUACUGCGCCACAGUCGGUAUUGAAAAUAUUUUUAUACAUAUAAUGUUCCCUGCAUGGAGGCGUACUUAGCAGUUAGAACUAUUUUAUUUUAUUUCAAACUCUCCCGUCUCUUUUAAACGUUUGAAGAAACUAGCUUAUCGCCAGAAAUCCCCAAAAACUAGUUCUCCGCUGGAGUAUUCUAUGAUCUAACCUAUCUUCAAAGUGUAAAAAGCAUAUGCUGCUAUAUAAUUCAGGCUCGGUAAACUUGCCUCACAGAAACAUUAAGUUUCCAUCAAGCAGGAAUCCUUUGAAGUGCAAUAUUAUCAGUGGCACAACAUCAUUUAAGACUGCCUGCCAGCACAUAUUCCAAGAGAGCUUUCCUUUGAUCUUAAAACAGGGGUGAAAGGUGGAAAUAACCAAAGAACAGAUCUUACACAAAAUAAGAAAUAUCAGAACUGCUCUCAGCAUAACAACACAAAGAAAUGGGGGAGAUUUAUUAUUUUAAACGAAAAAACUGAAGAUCGCACACGUCACAAAUUUUGGUAACUGGUAAAUAUAACAUGUGCUCUUUUGAGUUUCUUUUGUGGCCAGUUUGGAUUAAAUUUGUUCCAAUGGCAGUUGAUUGACGUUGAUGGUUUGGGACAGAUCAAGGGCAUCAUAUUCACUGUAGUAGAUGUUAACUUAAUUAUAAAUAAAUGGUAAAAAUGAA